UAACCUGCCUGGUAGCGGGGGAUAACUAUUGGAAACGAUAGCUAAUACCGCAUAAUAGUAGAUGUCGCAUGACAUUUGCUUAAAAGGUGCAAUUGCAUCACUACCAGAUGGACCUGCGUUGUAUUAGCUAGUUGGUGAGGUAACGGCUCACCAAGGCAACGAUACAUAGCCGACCUGAGAGGGUGAUCGGCCACACUGGGACUGAGACACGGCCCAG
rnacentral:rRNA from 1 species